CCUACGGGUGGCAGCAGUGAGGAAUAUUGGUCAAUGGACGAGAGUCUGAACCAGCCAAGUAGCGUGAAGGAUGACUGCCCUAUGGGUUGUAAACUUCUUUUAUAAAGGAAUAAAACGAGGCACGUGUGCCUUUUUGCAUGUACUUUAUGAAUAAGGAUCGGCUAACUCCGUGCCAGCAGCCGCGGUAAUACGGAGGAUCCGACCGUUAUCCGGAUUUAUUGGGUUUAAAGGGAGCGUAGAUGGGUUGUUAAGUCAGUUGUGAAAGUUUGGGGGUCAACCGUAAAAUUGCAAUGGAUACUGGCAGUCUAGAGUACAGUUGAGGUAGGCGGAAUUCGUGGUGUAGCGGUGAAAUGCUUAGAUAUCACGAAGAACCCCGAUUGCGAAGGCAGCUUACUAGACUGUGACUGACAUUGAUGCUCGAAAGUGUGGGUAUCAAACAGGAUUAGAUACCCUUGUAGUC
rnacentral:rRNA from 1 species